rnacentral:rRNA from 1 species
UACAGAGACUGCAAGCGUUAUUCGGAUUCACUGGGCGUAAAGGGUGCGCAGGCGGUUGGGUGUGUCAGAUGUGAAAUCCCGAGGCUUAACCUCGGAACUGCGUCUGAAACUACUCGACUAGAGUAUUGGAGAGGGUAACGGAAUUCACGGUGUAGCAGUGAAAUGCGUAGAUAUCGUGAGGAACACCAGAGGCGAAGGCGGUUACCUGGACAAUUACUGACGCUCAGGCACGAAAGCAUGGGGAGCAAAAGGG